UACAGGGGGGGCAAGCGUUGUUCGGAAUUACUGGGCGUAAAGGGUCUGUAGGUGGCCAACUAAGUCAGACGUGAAAUCCCUCAGCUUAACUGGGGAACUGCGUCUGAUACUGGAUGGCUUGAGUGUGGGAGAGGAAUGCGGAAUUCCAGGUGUAGCGGUGAAAUGCGUAGAUAUCUGGAGGAACACCGGUGGCGAAGGCGGCAUUCUGGACCAUAACUGACACUGAGCGCGAAAGCGUGGGGAGCGAACAGG
rnacentral:rRNA from 1 species